rnacentral:rRNA from 1 species
CCUACGGGAGGCAGCAGUGAGGAAUAUUGGUCAAUGGACGGGAGUCUGAACCAGCCAAGCAGCGUGAAGGAUGACUGUCCUGUGUAUUGUAAACUUCUUUUGUCAAGGAAUAAAACGAGGCACGUGUCCCUUUUUGCAUGUACUUUAUGAAUAAGGAUCGGCUAACUCCGUGCCAGCAGCCGCGGUAAUACGGAGGAUCCGAGCGUUAUCCGGAUUUAUUGGGUUUAAAGGGUGCGUAGAUGGGUUGUUAAGUCAGUUGUGAAAUUGUGCGGCUCAACCGUAAAAUUGCAGUUGAGACUGGCAGUCUUGAGUACAGUUGAGGUAGGCGGAAUGCGUGGUGUAGCGGUGAAAUGCUUAGAUAUCACGCAGAACUCCGAUUGCGAAGGCAGCUUACCAAACCGUGUCUGACACUGAGGCUCGAAAGUGUGGGUAUCAAACAGGAUUAGAUACCCGGGUAGUC